UACGUAGGGGGCAAGCGUUGUCCGGAUUUACUGGGCGUAAAGGGCGCGUAGGCGGCCCGCUAAGUCGAACGUGAAAUCCCCGGGCUCAACCCGGGAACUGCGUCCGAUACUGGUGGGCUCGAAUCCGGGAGAGGGAUGCGGAAUUCCAGGUGUAGCGGUGAAAUGCGUAGAUAUCUGGAGGAACACCGGUGGCGAAGGCGGCAUCCUGGACCGGUAUUGACGCUGAGGCGCGAAAGCCAGGGGAGCAAACAGG
rnacentral:rRNA from 1 species